rnacentral:rRNA from 1 species
ACUAAUGACGGUACCUGAAGAAGAAGCACCGGCUAACUACGUGCCAGCAGCCGCGGUAAUACGUAGGGUGCGAGCGUUAAUCGGAAUUACUGGGCGUAAAGCGUGCGCAGGCGGUUCCAUAAGACAGAUGUGAAAUCCCCGGGCUUAACCUGGGAACUGCGUUUGUGACUGUGGGACUCGAGUGUGGCAGAGGGGGGUGGAAUUCCACGUGUAGCAGUGAAAUGCGUAGAGAUGUGGAGGAACACCGAUGGCGAAGGCAGCCCCCUGGGUCAACACUGACGCUCAUGCACGAAAGCGUGGGGAGCAAACAGGAUUAGAUACCCUGGUAGUCCACGCCCUAAACGAUGCGAACUAGGUGUUGGGGAAGGAGACUUUCUUAGUACCGCAGCUAACGCGUGAAGUUCGCCGCCUGGGGAGUACGGUCGCAAGAUUAAAACUCAAAGGAAUUGACGGGG